UUGUAGUGGCCCGAUCAGUGAACAUGUUCUACCUCCGCCUUAUAGUUGUCAUUUGUUUUCUGUUGGCGGUCUUCGCCACAGCUUUGGUUAAUGGACAACAAUACUGCUGCUGGCAAAAUGGCGAGUGCCUCUGUGGGCCCGACCCAUGUCCUGUUGCGCAGAUAUGUAGCAGGAGAGGGAGUGGUUAAUCCGCCCCGCCAGCGUGCCAGCCAGCUCCAAUAUGUUCGGAAUAUACACGUAUUUGCAUCAACUACACGUCAGAGCACGGCAGCAAGAGGAUGAGAAGAAUGGGUGGUGUUCCAGAAAAGCAACUACAUCAGUGCAGCAUAUGAUUGACCCUUUGUCAUUUAAAGUUUGGGUACGACAAACAAAUACAUCAUACAUUGGUGUUGUUCUUUUCAA